UACGGAGGUGGCAAGCGUUGUUCGGAAUUACUGGGCGUAAAGGGCGCGUAGGCGGCAAGGCAAGUCAGGUGUGAAAGCCCCGGGCUUAACUCGGGAAUUGCAUCUGAAACUGCUGUGCUUGAGUUCUGGAGGGGGUAGUGGAAGUUCCCAGUGUAGCGGUGAAAUGCGUAGAUAUUGGGAGGAACACCUGCGGCGAAGGCGGCUACCUGGACAGAAACUGACGCUGAGGCGCGAAAGCUAGGGGAGCGAACGGGG
rnacentral:rRNA from 1 species